AACGAACGCUGGCGGCAGGCUUAACACACGCAAGUCGAGCGCCCCGCAAGGGGAGCGGCAGACGGGUGAGUAACGCGUGGGAAUCUACCCAUCUCUACGGAAUAACGCAUGGAAACGUGUGCUAAUACCGUAUACGUCCUUCGGGAGAAAGAUUUAUCGGAGAUGGAUGAGCCCGCGUUGGAUUAGCUAGUUGGUGGGGUAAAGGCCUACCAAGGCGACGAUCCAUAGCUGGUCUGAGAGGAUGAUCAGCCACACUGUGACUGAGACACGGCCCAGACCCCUACGGGAGGCAGCAGUGGGGAAUAUUAGACAAUGGGCGCAAGCCUGAUCCAGCCAUGCCGCGUGAGUGAUGAAGGUCCUAGGGUUGUAAAGCUCUUUCACCGGUGAAGAUAAUGACGGUAACCGGAGAAGAAGCCCCGGCUAACUUCGUGCCAGCCGCCGCCGUAAUAC
rnacentral:rRNA from 1 species